rnacentral:rRNA from 1 species
UAACACGUGAGUAACCUGCCUUAGACAUUGGGAUAGCCUCGGAAACCGGGAUUAAUACCAAAUGAAAUCACAUAUGCACAUGCAUAAAUGAUCAAAGCUCCGGCGGUCUAAGAUGGACUCGCGUCCCAUUAGCUAGUUGGUGAGGUAACGGCCCACCAAGGCGACGAUGGGUAGCCGGCCUGAGAGGGUGAACGGCCACAUUGGAACUGAGAAACGGUCCAAACUCCUACGGGAGGCAGCAGAU